rfam:Acromyrmex echinatior unplaced genomic scaffold scaffold230, whole genome shotgun sequence.
UCCCUAGUUGAUCCUGUAGUUAUAUGCUUGUCCCAAAGAUUAAGCCAUGCAUGUCUCAAUACAUGCCGAAUUAAGAUGAAACCGCGAAUGGCUCAUUAAAUCAGAUAUUAGAUUGUACCCACAUUUACUUGGAUAACUGUGAUAAUUCUAGAGCUAAUACAUACAUCCCGUGAUGGAAUGGACGCUUUUAUUAGAUCCAAUCGGUGGCGGGCGGUUGUCCGUCUGUCUACCGUUUAUUCCGGUGACUCUGAAUAACUUUGAGUUGAUCGCACGGUCUUAGCACCGGCGACGCAUCUUUCAAAUCUGCCUUAUCAACUGUCGAUGGUAGGUUCUGCGCCUACCAUGGUUGUAACGGGGAAUCAGAGUUCGAUUUCGGAAAAGAAGCCUGAGAAAUGGUCUACCACAUCCAAAGAAGGCAGCAGGCACACAAAUUACACGCUUCCGGCACGGGGAGGUAGUGACGAAAAAUAACGAUACGGGAUUCAUCCAAGGCUCUGUAAUCGGAAUGAGUACACUUUAAAUUCUUUAACGAGGAUCCAUUGGAGGGCAAGUCCGGUGCCAACAGCCGCGAUAAUUCCAGCUCCAAUAGCGUAUAUUAAAGUUGUUGCGGUUAAAAAACUCGUAGUUGAAUCUGUGUCGCAUACCGUUGGUUUACCGCUCGCGGUGUUUAACUGGCGUGAUGUGGAACGUCUUACUGGGCUUAGCCUCGCGAGAGGUGGCCCAACUAAUAUCCCAACUAAUGUCUCUUUACUGAGUAUCGAGUCGGGCCGGUACGUUUACUUUGAACAAAUUAAAGUGCUUAAAGCAGACUAUCCUCGCCUGAAUAUUGCAUGCAUGGAAUAAUGAAAUAGGACUCGGUUCUAUUUUGUUGAACCCCGAGGUAAUGAUUAAUAGGGACAGAUGGAGGCAUUCGUAUUGCAACGUCAGAGGUGAAAUUCUUAGAUCGGCGCAAGACGGACAGAAGCGAAAGCAUUUGCCAAAAAUGUUUUCAUUAAUCAAAAACGAAAGUUAGAGGUUCGAAGGCGAUCAAAUAUCGCCCUAGUUCUAACCAUAAACGAUGCCAGCUAGUGAUCCGCCGAAGUUCCUCCGAUGACUCGGUGGGCAGCUUCUGGGAAAUCAAAGCUUUUGGGUUCCGGGGGAAGUAUAAUAUGAUUGCAAAGCUGAAACUUAAAGGAAUUGACGGAAAGGCACCGCCAGAAGUGGAGCCUGCGGCUUAAUUUGACUCAACACGGGAAACCUCACCAGGCCCAAAACAUCGGAAGAAUUGACAGAUUGACAACUCUUUCUUGAUUCGGUGGGUGCAUGGCUGUUCUUAGUUGGUGGAGCGAUUUAUCUGAUUAAUUCCGAUAACAAACGAGACUCUAGCCUGCUAAAUAGGCGUACCUUAUGGUAUCGCCUUCGGCUUCGGCUGAUAAAUUUUUACUAUCAAUGUACAAACAAAUCUUCUUAGAGGAACAGGCUUCUAGUCGCACGAGAUUGAGCAAUAACAGGUCUGUCCCUUAGAUGUUCUGGACGCGCGUUACACUGAAGGAAUCAGCGUGUGUUUCCCAGACGAAAGGCCCGGGUAAUCCGGUGAACCUCCUCCGUGCUAGGGAUUGGGACUUGCAAUUGUUCUCCAUGAAUGAGGAAUUCCUAGUAAGCGAAUUCCUCAUAAGCUCACGUUGAUUACGUCCCUGCCUUUUGUACACACCGCCCGUCGCUACUACCGAUUGAAUGAUUUAGUGAGGUCUUCGGACUAGUGCGCGACAUUGCCAAUGUUGCCGGGAAGAUGACCAAACUUGAUCAUUUAGAAGAAGUAAAAGACGUAACAAGGUUUCCGUAGGUGAAUUUGUGGAAGAAUCAUUA